rnacentral:rRNA from 1 species
GUGGGGAAUAUUGCGCAAUGGGGGAAACCCUGACGCAGCGACGCCGCGUGAGCGAAGAAGGCCUUAGGGUUGUAAAGCUCUGUUUUAAGGGACGAAUGUCGUGGGGAGUAAUAUGCUCUGCGAAUGACGGUACCUUAAGAGGAAGCCCCGGCUAACUACGUGCCAGCAGCCGCGGUAAGACGUAGGGGGCGAGCGUUGUCCGGAAUUACUGGGCGUAAAGAGCACGUAGGCGGGAACUUAAGUCAGGUGUGAAAGACCGGGGCUCAACUCCGGGGUUGCACUUGAAACUGGGUUUCUUGAGGGCAGGAAAGGAAAGCAGAAUUCCUGGUGUAGCGGUGAAAUGCGUAGAUAUGGGGAGUAACACCAGUGGCGAAGGCGGCUUUCUGGACGGUGUCUGACACUGAGGCGCGAAAGCUAGGGGAGCGAACGGGAUUAGAUACCCUUGUAGUCC